rnacentral:rRNA from 1 species
GAUGAACGCUGGCGGCGUGCCUAAUACAUGCAAGUCGAGCGAACAGACGAGGAGCUUGCUCCUCUGACGUUAGCGGCGGACGGGUGAGUAACACGUGGAUAACCUACCUAUAAGACUGGGAUAACUUCGGGAAACCGGAGCUAAUACCGGAUAAUAUAUUGAACCGCAUGGUUCAAUAGUGAAAGACGGUUUUGCUGUCACUUAUAGAUGGAUCCGCGCCGCAUUAGCUAGUUGGUAAGGUAACGGCUUACCAAGGCAACGAUGCGUAGCCGACCUGAGAGGGUGAUCGGCCACACUGGAACUGAGACACGGUCCAGACUCCUACGGGAGGCAGCAGUAGGGACUCUUCCGCAAUGGGCGAAAGCCUGACGGAGCAACGCCGCGUGAGUGAUGAAGGUCUUCGGAUCGUAAAACUCUGUUAUUAGUGAAGAACAAAUGUGUAAGUAACUAUGCACGUCUUGACGGUACCUAAUCAGAAAGCCACGGCUAACUACGUG